rnacentral:rRNA from 1 species
AAGGAUCAUUACAGAGUUCAUGCCCGAAAGGGUAGACCUCCCACCCUUGUGUAUUAUUACUUUGUUGCUUUGGCGAGCUGCCUUCGGGCCUUGUAUGCUCGCCAGAGAAUACCAAAACUCUUUUUAUUAAUGUCGUCUGAGUACUAUAUAAUAGUUAAAACUUUCAACAACGGAUCUCUUGGUUCUGGCAUCGAUGAAGAACGCAGCGAAAUGCGAUAAGUAAUGUGAAUUGCAGAAUUCAGUGAAUCAUCGAAUCUUUGAACGCACAUUGCGCCCCUUGGUAUUCCGGGGGGCAUGCCUGUUCGAGCGUCAUUUCAACCCUCAAGCUUAGCUUGGUAUUGAGUCUAUGUCAGUAAUGGCAGGCUCUAAAAUCAGUGGCGGCGCCGCUGGGUCCUGAACGUAGUAAUAUCUCUCGUUACAGGUUCUCGGUGUGCUUCUGCCAAAACCCAAAUUUUUCUAUGGUUGACC